rnacentral:misc_RNA from 1 species
UAACCACUCACGCCUAGCGUGGUGUUGGGACCCGCGGUUCCGCGGUCCUCAAACUCAGUGGCGGUGCCCGUAGGCUCUAAGCGUAGUAAUGCUCCUCGCUAUAGGGUCCUACGGGUUACCCGCUAGAACCCCCCAAUUUUUCA